rnacentral:tRNA from 1 species
GGAGAGAUGGCUGAGCUGGUCUAAGGCGCACGACUGGAAAUCGUGUGUGCCCCUUAAAGGCACCGAGAGUUCGAAUCUCUCUCUCUCCGCCA